GAUGAACGCUGGCGGCGUGCCUAAUACAUGCAAGUCGAGCGAACAGACGAGGAGCUUGCUCCUCUGACGUUAUCGGCGGACGGGUGAGUAACACGUGGAUAACCUACCUAUAAGACUGGGAUAACUUCGGGAAACCGGAUCUAAUACCGGAUAAUAUAUUGAACCUCAUUGUUCAAUAGUGAAAGACGGUUUUGCUGUCACUUAUAGAUGGAUCCGCGCCGCAUGAGCUAGUUGGUAAGGUAACGGCUUACCAAGGCGACGAUGCGUAGCCGACCUGAGCGGGUGAUCGGACAGACGGGAAGAGAGAAACGGCACAGACACCUACGGGGGGAAGCAGUAGGGAAUCUUACGGAAUGGGGCAGAGCCUGACGGAGCAAAGUCGGGGGAGUGAUGAAGGUGUUCGGAUCGGAAAACUAUGAUAUUAGGGAAGAACAAAUGUGUAAGUAACUAGGAACGUCUUGACGGUACCUAAUCAGAAAGCCACGGCUAACUACGUG
rnacentral:rRNA from 1 species